AUUUCGCCAAAAAAAUAAGUAUAUACACGCUACUCUCUCUCAGUGUCCUCUGCCUUUCAUCUACCCCUUCUCUUUCGUCUCUCUCCUCUUGCAACCACCGCCAUCGGGACGCCGCCGACCACCGACCAUCUCUCCUCUUGCCGUCAUUCUCUCUCGACGAACUACCGACCACCUUACCUCUUCUCUCACCUCCUCUUUAUUUAUUUAUUUAUAAUAAUCGUGUAUUUGUAUAGCUGUGUAAAAGCCCUAGGUCAUGUCUCCGUCUUCUUCAAUUCAACCUUGGGUUUGAUUUUGAUUCGAUUAGUGUUUUAAUCUUUCAGAUUAGACAGAGAACAGACACACAAAGAGAGAGAGAUAGAGAGAGAGAAUGGACGAUAGUUGUGCGUUGUGCACCCUCCAUCGUCACCACCGUCGUCCUCAAUCUCCCUCCCCCGCCACCUCUAUCGCGUUUCGUCUUCCUCUUCAUCUCAUCCAGGGUGCGAAGGCCACUGUCACGCAGAUAUCUGCAACACGAAGCGAUCUCAACCAUGGCGGCUUCAGAUCCAGGCUCCACAGAAACUAACCAUCGGUGAAGAUCUCACCAGACGAGAGGCUUGUGCUCAAGGUUACUCUGAUAACACCGAAAAGGCCAUUACCUGAACCAUCAUUGUUACUCUCAUCGAAAAGGUAAUAUCCAACAUGAGGGUGCUGAUGACUGAAGAUUCAAACAAUGCUGUCGGCAGUUCUUUUUUGCUGGAUGACGAUUCAAGUUGAUGACAUCUCAAAAUCAAUGGAGCAGAUUGACAUUUCGGACGUAGAACCACCACCGCUUAUUCGUGAAAAUUCAGGAUUCAGUUUCUUGUUACCGCGUGCCGACUGAUCACCUUUUCAUAGUUGUCUGUCUUGUCGCUUGGAGGAUUAGUCCAAGGUAACUUUCUUACGCUUAUUCAGCUAGGUGGGGCAUUGUUUACAAAGCCAAAAUCAUCGAAGGGAUGAACUAACGAAGAGGAAAGAAAGGGAAGUUUUCUAUCCAAAUAAGAAAACAACAAAACCACUCAAAAUUCACCUGGAAGUGGUUUUUGGGCAGAAUUAGGGGGUGUUUAGUUGUGUAGAUAACUAGUUACUUAAAGAAAAUGUAUCCUCUUAACUGUUGGUGAUUUGAAUUGAAUUCCCACCUGAUAAUUGUUAGGUUUCAACAUUAAAAGAAGAAGAAGAAGAAGAUGAGGAAGAAAAAUUGUUAGAGGUCUCUACCAUUCAUAUUUUUAGUGUAAAACAUGCUUUAUGAGAAUGUGACAGUGAGUAACAACCCACAUUUUGUCUUUCUAUGAUUGCGCCUUUUGUAACUAAGUGACAUGGCAGAAUCGGAGGGGAUGAAGUAAGGCCUUAUUUUUAUUUUUAUUUUUUUUUGUUAAUUGCCUUAAUUGCAUAAUUCUCUGUUAAUCCUAGGUGGGUUUUGUGUUUUGAGAGAGGUAAUGACUACAACAUUUGCACCACACUAUGAUGUUGUAUAAAGCAUAAAGUGCAAAUAGUAAAUCAAAGCAAUUCUUUUCGGCAAAGUCAAAUUAAAUUCAGGUACAUCAUUAUAUGUUCUUUUCCUUUCAUAUUAAGUAGACUUGUACCAGUUUUGAUAGUUUUAAUUUGUGUUGUCAGCAGAAAUCCAUAUUCUUUUCAUACGUUUGUGAGGUGCUGAGAUAAUGUUAUGAUGAAGUUGUAGUGUACUUUUGUCUCUCAUCAAUUGAAUUCUAAUCCAUAUGACCACACCAUGCUUUUUUUUUUUUUUGGACAUAAAGAACUACACUUCCAUAUUUUUAGUCAAAAUAGACUGAUAGUUUGUACAAAGAUUUGUACUCGCUCCCCCAUUGAGUACAUUAUUGUGUACAAGGACAAGUUCCAUUAGAAGUUGACUUUUAAUUUUGACUACGUAUUUAACUAGUAUUUCUGGGCAAGGUCAUGUGGUAAUCCCAACUUGUUAUUGCUUGAAACAUGAAGCCUUGGUAUUUUUAUGUUGAGUUUUGAGAGAUAACCAACUUGUUAUUGAUUGAAACAUGAAGCCUUGGUACUUUUAUGUUGAAUUUUGAGAGAUAAGAGGACAAAUAACAGAGUAUAUGGAGUAUAUUCAAAUCUACCAAAUAAAUUCCUAAUACAAAAUAGGAAACUGCUCCCUAAAAAUAAGAAAUUAAAUAUUGAUAAGAUAGUAAUUAAGCUAUAAUUAAAAAUAAAAUAAGUAAAUUUUUGGAUUCUUGGACAAGGAUGUAGGUAGGUACAUGUACAGGAAUGAAUUCUUGGAACGUCCUUUGAUAUGGGCAACAGUUACUAUGUACUUACCCCAAGUUGUGAUCAGCUAGUGACUUGAAUUCAUUUUUAUCUUUGCAGGAUUUCAUAAUGAUGGAUCCCUCGUUAUUGUACGCCAGUUCCAGGAAUUUUUCUGAUCAAUAUGGAGACAUGAGGCUAGACAUCGACGACAUGAGUUAUGAGGAACUUCUUGCUCUAGAAGAAAGGAUAGGGAAUGUCAACACUGUCUUGUCUGAAGAUAUGAUUUCAAAGUGUUUGACAAAAACAAAGAUCUAUUCAGAUCGAAACCAUGAAGAAAAAACCUGUUGCAUCUGUCUUACAAGAAAUGCAACAGGGUUAGUUGCUCCAGCUAUUGCAACGGGUUUAGGUGUCUUAACACAUACAUCGGGCACUCUCGUCCCUGUGAUAGGAGCAAGUGGAUUUGCUAUAGCUGCAGCUGCAACUACUAUAGGAACUGUUGUCGAUAGUUUUAGAUAAUCUCUUAAUAGUUGUCGAUAUGUUUAGAAAGUUAGAUAUGCAUAGUUUUGGAUGGUUUAAACUUUUUGUACAGUUUAGAACUUAAGGAGAUCGUUUUCGAAUGUUUGGAAUAUAUAGACAAUUGUUGAAUGCUUAUAAUUUAUGGAUAUAGUUUCUUUUCGAUGUUUCAAACAA